CCGGAGAAUGUUAUCACGGGAGACACACGGCGGGUGCUAACGUCCGUCGUGAAGAGGGAAACAACCCAGACCGCCAGCUAAGGUCCCAAAGUCAUGGUUAAGUGGGAAACGAUGUGGGAAGGCCCAGACAGCCAGGAUGUUGGCUUAGAAGCAGCCAUCAUUUAAAGAAAGCGUAAUAGCUCACUGGUCGAGUCGGCCUGCGCGGAAGAUGUAACGGGGCUAAACCAUGCACCGAAGCUGCGGCAGCGACACUSAGGUGUUGUUGGGUAGGGGAGCGUUCUGUAAGCCUGUGAAGGUGUGUCGUGAGGCAUGCUGGAGGUAUCAGAAGUGCGAAUGCUGACAUAAGUAACGAUAAAGCGGGUGAAAAGCCCGCUCGCCGGAAGACCAAGGGUUCCUGUCCAACGUUAAUCGGGGCAGGGUGAGUCGACCCCUAAGGCGAGGCCGAAAGGCGUAGUCGAUGGGAAACGGGUUAAUAUUCCCGUACUUGGUGUUACUGCGAAGGGGGGACGG
rnacentral:rRNA from 1 species